AACGAACGCUGGCGGCAGGCUUAACACAUGCAAGUCGAGCGCCCCGCAAGGGGAGCGGGAGACGGGUCAGUAACGCGUGGGAAUCUACCCAUCUCUACGGAAUAACGCAUGGAAACGUGUGCUAAUACCGUAUACGUCCUUCGGGAGAAAGAUUUAUCGGAGAUGGAUGAGCCCGCGUUGGAUUAGCUAGUUGGUGGGGUAAAGGCCUACCAAGGCGACGAUCCAUAGCUGGUCUGAGAGGAUGAUCAGCCACACGGGGACUGAGACACGGCCCAGACUCCUACGGGAGGCAGCAGUGGGGAAUAUUGGACAAUGGGCGCAAGCCUGAUCCAGCCAUGCCGCGUGAGUGAUGAAGGCCCUAGGGUUGUAAAGCUCUUUCACCGGUGGAGAUAAUGACGGUAACCGGAGAAGAAGCCCCGGCUAACUUCGUGCCAGCAGCCGCCGUAACAC
rnacentral:rRNA from 1 species